rnacentral:rRNA from 1 species
UAACAUGAGAGUUUGAUCCUGGCUCAGGAUGAACGCUGGCGGCGUGCUUAACACAUGCAAGUCGAGCGAAGCGAUUUAAAUGAGACUUCGGUGGAUUUUAAAUUGACUGAGCGGCGG